UCUCAUGGAUCAGCAAAGAAAGUGGUUUCUUGAAAUGGAAUGUACUCCUGGUGAAGACACUGUGAA
rnacentral:pre_miRNA from 1 species